GGAAGGACAAACUAUUUAACUGGAGGAAGAAUGCAGCACUCUCUAAGGAAAUAGCCUGUUUACAGAGAGGAGAACCACGAUUUAAGAGGUGAUUUUUAUGGUGGUUGGCAGUUGAUUUGAUGGACUGAUUGAUACCACAGCUUAGAGGACAUACAUGUGUUCUGUAAGCAGCCUGAACUAGUGGGUAUCAGUUUUACUGUGAUGCUUUAAACCAUUCAUUUAUUCAGGUUUAACUGAAGCAGAGUUCAAGCAAUUCUUUUCCUUUGUCAUCUUAUGGCAAGAAGAGCAUAUAGAUAAAAGGGGCCAAGAUCAGUACUUCAGAGAACAAGGUCACAACCUGAUUGCCUGGUGCUACGAGGCUUCAAAUUACUGCAGCAGCUCACAUUCCUGUCUUUAGAAACCUUCCAUCCCAAAAUGGAGAUGUGCA